GACGAAGGAUGCAAGCGUUAUCCGGAUUCAUUGGGCUUAAAGGGAGCGUAGGUGGCCUUGUAAGUCAGUGGUGAAAUCUCUCGGCUUAACUGAGAAAUUGCCAUUGAUACUGCAGGGCUUGAGUACAGAUGCCGUUGGCGGAAUAUGACAUGUAGUGGUGAAAUACAUAGAGAUGUCAUAGAACACCGAUUGCGAAGGCAGCUGACGAAACUGUAACUGACACUGAGGCUCGAAAGUGUGGGGAUCAAACAGG
rnacentral:rRNA from 1 species